GCGAAAGCCUGACGCAGCGACGCCGCGUGGGUGAUGAAGGCCUUCGGGUCGUAAAGCCCUGUCGGGAGGGACGAAACCUCGGUGACCUAAUACGUCACUGACCUGACGGUUCCUCUUAAGGAAGCACCGGCUAACUCCGUGCCAGCAGCCGCGGUAAUACGGAGGGUGCGAGCGUGGUUCGGAAUUACUGGGUGUAAAGCGCGUGCAGGCGGUCUCUUAAGGCUGGUGUGAAAGCCCGGGGCUCACCCCCGGAAGGGCACUGGAAACUGGGAGGCUAGAGUACCGGAGAGGACGGUGGAAUUCCUGGUGUAGCGGUGAAAUGCGUAGAUAUCAGGAGGAACACCGGUGGCGGAGGCGGCCUUCUGGACGGCUACUGA
rnacentral:rRNA from 1 species